rnacentral:rRNA from 1 species
UACGAAGGGGGGCUAGCGUUGCUCGGAAAUCACUGGGCGUAAAGGGCGCGUAGGCGGACUUUUAAGUCGGAGGUGAAAGCCCAGGGCUCAACCCUGGAAUUGCCUUCGAUACUGGGAGUCUUGAGUUCGGAAGAGGUUGGUGGAACUGCGAGUGUAGAGGUGAAAUUCGUAGAUAUUCGCAAGAACACCGGUGGCGAAGGCGGCCAACUGGUCCGAUACUGACGCUGAGGCGCGAAAGCGUGGGGAGCAAACAGG